AGUCGAGCGAGUCUGCCUUGAAGAUCGGAGUGCUUGCACUCUGUGAAACAAGAUACAGGCUAGCGGCGGACGGGUGAGUAACACGUGGGUAACCUGCCCAAGAGAUCGGGAUAACACCUGGAAACAGAUGCUAAUACCGGAUAACAACAGAUGAUGCCUAUCAACUGUUUAAAAGAUGGUUCUGCUAUCACUCUUGGAUGGACCUGCGGUGCAUUAGCUAGUUGGUAGGGUAACGGCCUACCAAGGCGAUGAUGCAUAGCCGAGUUGAGAGACUGAUCGGCCACAUUGGGACUGAGACACGGCCCAAACUCCUACGGGAGGCAGCAGUAGGGAAUCUUCCACAAUGGACGCAAGUCUGAUGGAGCAACGCCGCGUGAGUGAAGAAGGGUUUCGGCUCGUAAAGCUCUGUUGUUGGUGAAGAAGGACGGGGGUAGUAACUGACCUUUGUUUGACGGUAAUCAAUUAGAAAGUCACGGCUAACUACGUGCCAGCAGCCGCGGUAAUACGUAGGUGGCAAGCGUUGUCCGGAUUUAUUGGGCGUAAAGCGAGUGCAGGCGGUUCGAUAAGUCUGAUGUGAAAGCCUUCGGCUCAACCGGAGAAUUGCAUCAGAAACUGUCGAGCUUGAGUACAGAAGAGGAGAGUGGAACUCCAUGUGUAGCGGUGAAAUGCGUAGAUAUAUGGAAGAACACCGGUGGCGAAGGCGGCUCUCUGGUCUGUUACUGACGC
rnacentral:rRNA from 1 species